AGUCGCGGAUGCACACUCUCGAGAGGACCCGGCGUCCAGGCACGCACCCGGGCAGAGAUGAGGCUGAGUCACGCACAGGAAGGAACGGGUAGCUGGUGGACAGCAACUUCCUGAUAUGUUGCCCAGGCUGGACUCAAAUUCCUGGGCUCAAGUGAUCCUCCUGUCUUAGCCUCCUGAGAAGCUGGGACUUUAGGCAUGCCCCACCACACCCAGCAGCAAUAAAAUAUUUUAUAAUUAAGGAUGUGGAGGCUCAGUGCGGCUAAACCCCCAGCACUCUGCUACAGCCAAACUGAAUGCCGUUUGUUGAAUGAGCAAAGAAAUGAACGAAAGAAAAAGCGACGAUCUUUUCCAUUUCAUCUGACCACCGACAGUAUUGCUCCAAAGUAGUUUGACUCCAUCCUUCCUUUUGCACAAGGCCCCACUGCUCCCUCCCAAACAGAUGACCUGGAGACCAGGAAAGAAUUCUUGUCAAGCUCCCAGACAAAGGUUGCUCAAACAGCCAAUACCCCUUGCCCCGAGAGACCACCAAUCUGUCUCCAUGUGCUGACUGCUGGGCUUCUUCCAAAUCCUUGAGCCUGAAGUCCACUGACCUGGGGGAAUGACCCACAGGACAGAGAGAAGUGGAGGGACAUCAAGAAUGAUGGGCCCAGCCUGUGGUGCCUCUGGGGAGGAGCUGCUUGUCAUCCCAUUUUAAGUGGAGCUGAAGGGAGACCGGCCUCCUGCCCACCCCUCCUCUUGCCCACCCGAGGCGGCAGCCUGACAAGUGUAAAUCCCAGAAUGAAUGGAGGCGCCCGGCCCGUGGAGCCGGUGUCUCCGCGGGCAUCUCCGCGCUGAUUGACUUGUCGCCUCUGCGAGGCUGACUCUAUCAGCUCCUCGGCUCCUCCAAUUCCAGGUGUGAUUUAGUUUGGAGAUGAGAGGUGACAGUUAACAUUGGUACUCGUCACUGUAGAUCAGACGCAGUCACGCUGUCUUCCCCCUCCCCAGCCCGCCCCCUCCCUCCUCCGAGGCGCCAGGGUCAGCGCUCCCGCCCAGCCCACCGACGGGCAAGCGAGACUCCCUUCCACAGUCUGCAUUCCCCAGGGCUUCCUCAAUGCCAACACCUUCCUCCGGCCUGACCGUCACUGUUUCCCAAAAGCCCAGGCAUCCUUGGCUUCCCUGGAAUCCCCGGAUGGUUUUUCUUUCUCUGUCUUCUCUCUCCUGGUUAGCCUAGCCUCUGAGCAACCUCAGUCUCCGCUGGCUCCCUGCACAGGAUCCCCUGCAGGGGCCAGAGGGAUGUUCACUGGGCUAGUGCCUUCCUCCCAUCAUGGCUGAUUGGGAGGACCUCAACGUGUCCUCACCAAAUGCAGAGUUUGGAAGAGAUGCGAGUGGGUGAGAGCCAGGGUGAGCUGGAUCCAGCACUGCUCUGUACGUUGUAGAAUAAACUUGGGCAACCACCACUCAGAUCAAGAUGUAGAGCAGUUCCAACACCCCAGAAGUGUCCAGUGUCCAAGGGAGGCUUUUGAGGGUCAAAAACUUGUCAAAGGAAGACUUGGGUGAGAUAUGAGCAAAACUUCUCAGGCCAUGAAGGACCCAGAAGGUGGGUGGGAAAGGGGGAGAGUUCCCUGGAUAAAGAGCUACUCUUUUCUAGGCUUCUGGAAAGUGAACUGUUGAGUGAGAGGAGGGAUUUUAGCUGUGGCACUGUCAGAGGGUUCUCUAGAGAUGCUUCAGGGGUCACUGAUGAGGGUCUCUAGGCGGUGGAGUGGGCAGCCUCAGUGGUUCCACCUAUGUCUGUGUCAUUCACUGGGCUUCUCUGCAGGAUUUCAUUUGAAAGAAAAGUUCUGUGGUGGAAAUACGCUCUGCUCUCCUUGUUGUGCCACAUGGCCUCUGUUGCACUAACAUAUAUAGAUUCUAUGACCACUGUCUCUCCCUGCAGACCCUUCUUCACUCCUUCCCACUUUCACUGAGUCUCACACUGUGCUGGGAAUAAAGCUCUCACCUUCUCAACAGAGCACAUUCUCUACUGCCAGCCCACACACACUCCAAUUCUGACUCCAGGCUUAUCUGCCUUGGAGCUGCUGAGAGGAACCCAGAUUCCUGCCUUUGGGUUCCCUAUCUCCUUGAGAAACUGCUGGAGGGAGGGGCUGCAGGAGUUUUCCUGGGCACAGGUAGAAAAACAGAGAAGGGAGGGAACCUUGGUUAGGUUCAUUCUCUUUGUUACAGUUUGAAUGUGUCUCCUCCAAAAUUCAGGUGUUGCCAACGUGACAGCAGUAACUAUUGGGCCUUUAAGGAGUGAUUAGGGCAGGAGGGCUCCUGCCUUGUCAAUGGGAUUAGCCGCCUUUAUAAAGAGGCUUGGUGAAGGGAGUUGGUUUCUCUCUUGCCCCACCCACCCGCCUUCUACCUUGUGAGGGCACAGCAUGAAGGCCCUCACUAGACAGAUGCUGAUACCUUGAUCUGGGCCUUAUCCUCCGGCACUGUGAGAAAUAAAUGUCUGGUGUUUAAGGCACCCAGGCCAUGGCAUUUUGUUAUGGCAGCCCAAAUGGGCUAAGACAUCAGGCUUGUCUAAUUUUGAGGUCUACACUAUAGAAAACCACAUUCCCCGAUUGAUUUUUUCCCAUUUUAAUAUUAAAAUUUAAUUAUAAAAGUAAUAGUAAAAUAAAUUAUCAUUUAAAAAAUAAAACAUAAAUGAUAAUGUUUGACCAA